rnacentral:tRNA from 1 species
GGGCGCAUAGCUCAGCUGGUUAGAGCGCAACGUUGACAUCGUUGAGGUGAGAGGUUCGACUCCUCUUGCGCCCA